AACCUCCGCAAUGUGAGAAAUCGCGACGGGGGGAUCCCAAGUGCCAUUCUUAACGGGAUGGCUUUUCAUUAGUGUAAAGAGCUUUUGGAAUAAGGGCUGGGCAAGACCGGUGCCAGCCGCCGCGGUAACACCGGCAGCUCUAGUGGUAGCAGUUUUUAUUGGGCCUAAAGCGUCCGUAGCCGGUUUAAUAAGUCUCUGGUGAAAUCCUGUAGCUUAACUGUGGGAAUUGCUGGAGAUACUAUUAGACUUGAGACCGGGAGAGGUUAGAGGUACUCCCAGGGUAGAGGUGAAAUUCUGUAAUCCUGGGAGGACCGCCUGUUGCGAAGGCGUCUAACUGGAACGGUUCGGACGGUGAGGGACGAAAGUUAGGGGCGCGAACCGGAUUAGAUACCCGGGUAGUCCUAACUGUAAACGAUGCGGACUUGGUGUUGGGGUGGCUUUGAGCUGCUCCAGUGCCGAAGGGAAGCUGUUAAGUCCGCCGCCUGGGAAGUACGGUCGCAAGACUGAACUUAAAGGAAUU
rnacentral:rRNA from 1 species